UCUAAGAUAAGCCAACUAUUGGAAAAGUUCUAAAAUAGAAAUUGCUAUACAUUGGCCAACUUUACAACUCUAAAAAUAAUGUAUCGAUUUUACAAUGAAAUAUUGUUUUCUACUGCUCGUUGUCUGCAUCCCGUAUCGUUCGAUUCAGCAUUUUGUCUGGCCACUACAUUGGUGUCUCCUGGCAGACAUCUGCAACCACACCUGGAUCCCGGAAUGCGGCUCCGACAGUCCGGACAACAUCUUCAGGAGAUGACUCUUCGUCGACGAGUGUGACAUGUAUGAGUUCAACUGCGACAAUGUUAGAGACUACGUCAUGAUAAACUACUCGGACUGUUUUAACAUUCCUCCCUCCACAAGCGAAUGCCCACCUGUUGAGUGUCCAAAAUGCCCUGAACGGCGAAGACAUAAGCCCUUUACCACCACCUUUAGAACCCCAGGAGUGAACCUUCCAAAGCACAUGAUGAAAGGAUUAAGAAGAUACACACCACAACCCAGAAACAGAAGAAACAAAGAAUCUUCAGCUACUAUGCGAACUGUUAUACUCAAAAAGGAAGAGAUAGAAGUUAAUGGGAAAAAGGUUAUGAAGAUAGUAAAGGGGUUUAUCGAAAGACGAAAAGCGAAAGGCAAAGUUUCGAAAGAUUCUGAUUUCAUUGAGAAUUAAACAUUUGUUUUUUUAA